rnacentral:lncRNA from 10 species
UCCGAGGCUCAGGAUUUUGCCAGUUUGGAAGAGCACUGGAUGAUUUGGAAGAGCACUGGAUUCCAAGCUUGGAAGAGCACUUGGAAGAGCACUGGAUUCCAAGCCAGCUUGGAAGAGCACAAAUGACAACCUUGCUCCAAAGUGGAGGUGUGCGUGGACUGACCAAGAAGGCUCAUCAGACCUCGCCUCCCAGGACCAAAUGUUGGACUGAAGCACUGGUGCAAAACAUAAAGACAAACAUUUCUCCUUAA